GAUUGCCGAAGUUUGACAACCGUCUGCUCCAUCCUGUUCAGCGCUGGUGUGUUCGCUUCGCUUUCCGCUCCAUUCUGCCAGCAUUCGAAGCGUGUCUCCCGUGUUCCCCUACUUUAGCUCUCAGGCAGUACAAAACUCACAUUCAGAAUGGCAGAUAACGAGGAUCUUUUAGACUAUGAGGAGGAGGACCAGACCGAGCAGGUGGUGGCGGAGACCACGGAACAGCCGAAGAAGGACGUGAAGGGUACUUACGUAUCGAUUCACAGCUCCGGUUUCCGUGAUUUUCUGCUGAAGCCUGAAAUUCUGCGCGCCAUUGUCGACUGUGGUUUCGAGCAUCCCUCCGAAGUGCAACACGAAUGUAUUCCGCAGGCGGUGCUUGGUAUGGACAUUCUGUGCCAGGCCAAGUCCGGUAUGGGAAAGACGGCCGUGUUUGUGCUUGCCACGCUGCAGCAGCUGGAGCCGACCGAGAACGUGCCGUACGUGCUGGUCAUGUGCCACACGCGCGAGCUCGCUUUCCAGAUCAGCAAGGAGUACGAGCGGUUCUGCAAGUACAUGCCCACCAUCAAGGUGGCCGUGUUCUUCGGCGGGCUGCCGAUCCAGAAGGAUGAGGAAGUGCUGAAAACGACGACCCCACACAUCAUCGUCGGAACACCGGGCCGCGUGCUGGCGCUCAUCCGCAACAAGAAGCUGAACCUGAAGAACUUGAAACAUUUCAUCCUCGACGAGUGCGACAAAAUGCUCGAACAGUUGGAUAUGCGGCGCGACGUCCAGGAGAUUUUCCGUAACACACCCCACGGAAAGCAAGUGAUGAUGUUCUCCGCCACGCUGAGCAAAGAAAUUCGCCCAGUGUGCAAAAAGUUCAUGCAAGAUGUAAAUACCACCACUAGUUCUACUACUUCUACUUCCUCAUCUACCUCUACCACUACUACUACUACUGCUACUCGUAAUGUCAAUAGGCGAAAGGAAAGUUACUGUGUCGAUGGGAAAAGUUUGCCGAAAAGUUGUCAUUCCAGUACGCUGUGGUUGGCCAGUACGUACUCCACCAUCGUCGCUGGUGUUGCUGCUGCUGUGUCGAUGCCGUCGUCAUCGUCGGACGCGCAGUGCCUUAUUAAAUCGUACCAAAACACUAAAUCGAUUCACCAUCUCUGGCCGAUCGCGGCAACCUAAAAGCAUGCUAGAUAUGCCAACCCGUGUAAAAAAACAUAACCAAACACACUCCUCCGAGAGCUAUUCGCGUGAAGCCCAUGCAGCCGUGCUUUGGAUGGAUGUAACCACCUACACCAAAGCGCACACUGUUCCUUCUCAAAUGUUCGACUCCGUCCCUGCUGUGCCAUGGGGCGAGAGGGAGUCCUUCGAGAAAUAUGAAGCGUUCGAGCAACCGAUUGAGAAGGAAGCGAAACAAACGGUAAGGGAUGCGGAGCUGUUUUGCUCGGCAAACGUUGAAGAAAGCUGCUUCAACGUUGGCCACCUAGAAACGUGUGCCUACUUCAACGGUCUCUAUGCAAUGGUGUUUAAAAUGUAACCAACCCCGUAAACCACUACCAACCCCGAUAAUACAAAACGAUCUAGUAUUUCUGUAAAUCCCAACUACCCGAGCAACCGUAACCGAGCACGUACUGUGUUUAAAUACCAUCGAAAUCGUUCACACCUUGCAUUCGCGGUCUUCUGUCCGUCGUCGUACAAUACUUCCGUCGUGAACAGAUCAACAAAUGCGAGAACCUCUUUUCCAAUGGAUUUCGUUGCCCGUCCGCUUCGCAUUCACAAAGUUGCAUAAAUGUACCAAAAUGCAACUGUCCUAUAAAAAAAUCCCCUACAAAAGAGGUCGCAGCGCCGCAACAGAAUAUGCACCUAGAGUUGCAUUGAAAAAAAAAAAAGAAGAAAAUAUCAAUUCAAGCCACAUGUGCGUGCUGUUCGUGGGACGCGCACCCGCAAUCGGAACGAAGCGAAUGAUGUCUGUCGAGAGAGUCGCCCGCCCUCCCCCCGUGUGCCCGUGGUGCGACGGACCGUUUGGCAAAUAGAUCCGAUCGUUCUCUCUGUUGCUGUUGCAUCUACCGAAGCAUCCAACCGAGUCGCAGCGAAGGAGCCGAGCAGAAAUUACAGGACCUUCCGCGAGCAAUAGAGCGCUGGUGGGG